AUUUUAAAUUGUGUUGUCUGAAAGCUCAAUAAACUAACAGUAAAGGUGGAAAUGUGCAGUGAACAUAUGGAUGAAUAGAUUCAUGUGAAGAUAAAGUUCUGCUCAGGUGGAGGAUUCUGACAGAUUGGAGCAGUUUGUUCUGCAGAAUUCAUAAAUCAAAGGUAUAGAUUAUGCUUUUAUUCUGAAGGAUUUCUUCCUGUCGUUGAAAUUUGCAGAAACUGUGAAACAGAAAGUGUUUGAGAUCGGUCUGUACGCAGUGAGGAGUGUCUGAGGUUCCGUUCUAAAGAGAGCUGAUCAGUGAGCUGAUGUUUCAUCCUCAGAGGAAGACUAUGGAUCUUCUUCCUCUCGUGUGUCUCUGUCUGCUGACCUGGUCUGCAGGAACGGCUGCUGAUCACAAGCCAGUGGUCGUUGAAGUGGAACCAGGCAGGGAUGUUAUUCUACCCUGUUCCCUCGGCCAUCAGAAGAGCGUUACGUUUAAGUACUUUGAGUGGAAGAAAGAUGGUCAGAAGGAUGUGUUCUUUUAUGAUGCAGGCAGGCAUUACAAUAACGACAAUACAGGUCAAGAUGAGCAGUUCAAAGGUCGAGUCUCACAUUUUUCUGAUCAACUGAAGAACGGCAUCGCCUCCAUAAAGAUCAGAGAUACGAAGAUAUCUGACAGUGGAAACUACACCUGUGAUUUUCCUCGUCUUCAGCCACCCCAAACCUUCUACAUAAAGCUUGUUGUUGAGCCAGUGGUUGUCAAAGUGGAACAAGGCAGUGAUGUUAUUCUACCCUGUUCCCUCAGCACUCAGGAGAGCAUUACGUUUGAGUGGAAGAAAGAUGGUCAGAAGAAGGUGUUCUAUUAUGAUGGAGGCAUUCAUUCCAAUAAAGAAGAUACAGGUCAAGAUGAGCAGUUCAAAGGACGAGUCUUUCAUUUUUCUGAUCAACUGAAGAACGGUAACGCCUCCAUAAUGAUCAGUAAUACGCAGCUGAAUGACACUGGAAUCUACACCUGUGAUUUUCCUCAUCUUCAACCAAGACAAACCUUCUACAUAAAGCUUUUUAUUGUUGGUGAGUACUUUCAUUAAACAGUUAAAGAUGUUGUUCAUUUACUCAUGAGACUGGUUUGAGAGUCUGUGAUGGACUUUUGUCAAGUAGUCAGAAUCCAGAUAACCUCUGUAUCAAACACUCUGACAUAAUUCUGUUUUAAUUUGUCUUUUAGAUCCUACCUUAAGAAACAGAUACCCUUGGGUCAAAGGUGAGUUCUGGCUCUGAUGACGUCACUACAUCUGAGCUUUAA
rnacentral:lncRNA from 1 species